ACGAGCCUCCGGUUGAUGCACAGGGACGCAAUCCAAUCUAGUCCUCCAUAGACAUCAUUAAAGGCAAAGCCUGUAUGACUCUGUACACAAAAACAAAUGGUUGCAGGGGUCAUACUACCAAUAAAAUGAAAGAAUGGCUGCUAUCAAGAAAUCAACCAAUAACAAAUGCUGGAGGGGCUGUGGGAAAAAAGGAACCCUUCUCCACUGUUGGUGGGAGUGUAGACUGGAGCAACCACUGUGGAAAUCAAAUUGGAGAUGCCUCAAAAAACUAAAACUUAGAGGUUCCAUUUGACCCAGCUAUUUCCCUUCUUGGUAUCUUCCCGAAAGAAUUAAAAGCAUCCUACCACAACUAUACAUGCACACCCAUGUUUACAGUGGCACAAUUUGCAAUAGCUAAAUCUUGGAAACAGCUCAAAUGCUCA
ensembl:lncRNA